rnacentral:rRNA from 1 species
UACGGAGGGUGCGAGCGUUGUCCGGAAUCACUGGGCGUAAAGGGCGCGUAGGUGGCCACUUCAAGCGUGCGGUGAAAGUCGGGGGCUCAACCCCUGAUCGGCCGUGCGAACUGGGGGGCUGGAGCACUGUAGAGGCAGGCGGAAUUCCGGGUGUAGCGGUGGAAUGCGUAGAGAUCCGGAAGAACACCGGUGGCGAAGGCGGCCUGCUGGGCAGUUUUGCUGACACUGAGGCGCGACAGCGUGGGGAGCAAACAGG